AUUCGGCUGACGAGUUCAAAACAGGACGAAACGAUCAUCAUAAAU
rnacentral:hammerhead_ribozyme from 1 species